AUUGAACGCUGGCGGCAUGCCUUACACAUGCAAGUCGAACGGUAACAGGUCUUCGGAUGCUGACGAGUGGCGAACGGGUGAGUAAUACAUCGGAACGUGCCCGAUCGUGGGGGAUAACGGAGCGAAAGCUUUGCUAAUACCGCAUACGAUCUACGGAUGAAAGCAGGGGACCGCAAGGCCUUGCGCGGACGGAGCGGCCGAUGGCAGAUUAGGUAGUUGGUGGGAUAAAAGCUUACCAAGCCGACGAUCUGUAGCUGGUCUGAGAGGACGACCAGCCACACUGGGACUGAGACACGGCCCAGACUCCUACGGGAGGCAGCAGUGGGGAAUUUUGGACAAUGGGCGCAAGCCUGAUCCAGCCAUGCCGCGUGCAGGAUGAAGGCCUUCGGGUUGUAAACUGCUUUUGUACGGAACGAAACGGCUCUUUCUAAUAAAGAGGGCUAAUGACGGUACCGUAAGAAUAAGCACCGGCUAACUACGUGCCAGCCGCCGCAGUAA
rnacentral:rRNA from 1 species